UUCCUAUGAAACAAAAACAAACAAAAUUAAAAAAUAAGGGUAUAUUCAAUGCUAAUUUGUGUUUUCCUGUUGAUUUUAUUUUGUUAGCUGGAGUCAUCAAAAACAACACAGAAAGCCAUGUAACUGACUACUUGGAUCUGGAUCCAAUUUUAGUCCAAUUGAAUAAGCUGGAACUUGGAGGAGAUUUUGAUUUAAAGAGUCACAAAAGUUGCAAAUAUUUUGGACUUCAACACCCAUAAAUGCCAGCCAACAACCAAAAUAUCAAGAAGGAAUCACUGCAGAGGGCUUCUGCAUUAUGAGAAAGAGGACUUGGCCUCCUAACUCUCCGAGGAGAUAAUGCUCCUAGAGGUGCAAAGAUUACUGCAGAAGCAGACUGCAGCCAGGAAAUCAGAAGACUUUUACUUCUUGUGAGGAGAGCAAUGACCAACCUCGAUAAAAUAGUGAAGAGUAGAGACAUCACACUGGCAACAAAGGUUUGCAUAGUUAAAGCAAUGGUAUUCCCUGUUGUGAGAGCUGGACCAUAAGGAAGGCUGAGCAAAGGAAGAUAGAGGCUUUUGAACUGUGCUGUUGGAGGAAAGUUCUAGGCACAAAGAUCACUGCAGAUGCAGACUGCAGCCAGGAAAUUAGAAGACGUUUACUUCUUGGGAGGAGAGCAAUGACUAAUCUCUAUAAAAUAGUGAAAAGUAGAGACAUCACACCGGCAAUGAAGGUCCACAUAGUUAAAGCAACGGUAUUCCCCAUAGUUAACCUAUGGAUGCGAGAGCUGGACCAUAAGGAUGUGACAGCUGGACCAUAAGGAAGACUGAGUGAAGGAAGAUAGAUGCUUUUGAACUGUGGUGUUGGAGGAAAAUUCGGAGAGUGCCUUGGACCGCAAGAAGAUCAAACCUGUCCAUACUCCAGGAAAUAAUGUCUGGCUGCUCACUGGAGGGAAGGAUAUUAGAGGCAAAGAUGAAGUACUUUGGCCACAUAAUGAGGAGGCAGGAAAGCUUGAAGAGAAUGAUGCUGGGGAAAAUGGAAGGAAAAAAGAAGAGGGGCUGACCAAGGACAAGAUGGAUGGAUGGUAUCCUUGGAGUGACUGGCUUGACCUUGAAGGAACUGGAGGCGGCGACGGAUGACAGGAAGCUCUGACAUGGGCUGGUUUAUGAGGUCACGAAGAGUCAGAAGCGACUGAAUUAAUAAACAACAACAUGGAGUUGAUUACCUGGAUAAUGUACAUAGCAAUUACCGUGUUUCCCCGAAAAUAAGACAGUGUCUUAUAUUAAUUUUUGCUCCCAAAGAUGCGCUAGGUCUUAUUUUCAGGGGAUGUCUUAGUUUUCCAUAAAGAAGAAUUCACAUGUAUUGUUGAACAAAAAAAAAAAGAACAUUGAUUAUAUUCUGUACAGUAGUUGUCAUUACAAACCAGCAUAACCAGACAAACUGAAUCCUAUCAAGAAUUUCUUGUUACUACCAUUAUUUCCAUGUACAACACUCUAUGAUACGUACAUUUACCAAUCCUGCAUGCUGUGGUGUUCUGUUUGGCAGGCAUGCUUCCAAACAAAAACUUUGCUAGGUCUUACUUUCGGGGGAGGCCUUAUAUUUAGCAAUUCAGCAAAACUUCUACUAGGUCUUAUUUUCUGGGGAUGUCUUAUUUUAGGGGAAAUAAAGUACUUGUUGUUGUUGCUGGUUCCAAAAUGUUGAGAGAGAAAAAACCAAAGUACAAGAGGACACAGCUAUGUACUGAAUGUACUUACUUGCUUGUUAAUGUGGGAUUUGUGUAUUGAUAGUGUUUAAAUGCAAUUUGUGCCAUGCUUGUAUUGCAACUGAUUGCAUCAUCCAGAAUGUACCAUAAUGUGGAAAGAGUUAAUUGCCAAGAAGCUAUGAUGACCUUGAUGUGUGGCUCAAACUAGGGAGUAUCCAGACACAAGUGUUUGUGCAUAACGAUUCAGUUCAGUUGAGUUCUGUCUGCCUAGAGUUCGAGUCAAGUUCUGUUGGAGAACAGAGCAGUCCUGUGUUUGUCUGUCGUCUGCAAGUCUGUUUGUGAUUAUUAUUGCUGCAUACAGUAAAACUUUGUAAAUAGUUUUACCAA